CUAAAUCUUGGGUAUUAGCUGAUAAGAAGAGGUGUCAGAGGUGUUAUGAAACAAAUCAGAUGAAUAAUGGGCGAACUGUUAUCGCUUUCACAGACCGAAGGCGCGGCGGGCAGAGCGGCCUUCUCACCCCCUUCCCUUCACUUGUCGGGAAUUGGGGCAUUUUUCAGUCGCAUCUUCGCCCUUCUUGGGGGCGGCCUUAGAUUGUCGGCAGCUGUCUUAGAUCAGAGCUGUUUAUUCCACAGCGAAACCACUUUGGAUCGAGACGAGGGAGAGAGCGCAGAGCGGGGGCACCCUCCCGAGCCUUUGAAGCGCCUCUGGUCGUUCGUUCUCUUCUGCUCGGCAAAAUCCAAGCCCUCCACUCUCGUCACAACGCAGAGCCCCGAGAUAAGAGAAGCGUCCUGCACACGAGCACGGUCACACGUCCGAAGUAACAGCGGACCUCCUCUCGCGUUUCCGAAGCUCGGGUGCUCGACGCCGCUAUCCGCCCCAUCCAAAGCGGUUUCUUUCCCCCUUCCCCGCUCCGCUUUUAGAAGAUAUUUCUUUAUUUGGUCAAGGAAUCCUAUCAGCGUCAGGAGAAAAGUUGUGGUUCUAAUUCUCUUAACGUAAGGAGGGGAGAGGGGAAAGAAGCUUAUCUCCCCGCUUUUUAUUUUAUUACUACUAUUGUUAUUGUUUUCAUUGGACACCGACUCGAGCACAUCGUAGCGAAUUUAGAUGCACUUGCAGGACGGGUUGUAGAGUCCACCUUCGGCAUAGGAAGGCCCUUGCGAAGCGCAGGGUGCCGAGAUGAUACAUGCAGCUCCGGAGGCUGUGGGAACCCGAAUCGGAAGCCAGCUUGCUUUUGCUUCGCUUCCCACCGCCAUCCGCUUUCCAAUCCGCGUAAAAGGCUUUUGGUUUUGUCUUAAAAGGCAUCUGAGAACCAACCGUUCGGAAUAAGCAAGGAGUGUGUGAAGGGGGAAUCACCCAAACCUGUAGGAAGCUGGAAUUGGCCCUCUGCGCUUCGACAGCGAAUAGCAGCCACCAGGGAAAGUCACUUCUGGGGUGACAGUCAUCUCAUCCUGAAGCAAAUGUAUAAACUAGGUCAGAUAAAACUUUACUUGCAAUAAAAGGAUCUGGAAGGAGACUGGCUGAGGCAUCAAUUUCGACACUGAAGAGGUCUACGUAUGGACUGGAAAGAAGUGUACAAGCAGCCACUCCUGAAACACAUCAGAAACUCUGCUUUCAGCUUCUCUUCUGGCAAUGCUGGAACUUCCAGAAGAGUCGUUGAUGCCUGCCUAAUUCUGCUGAAGCAAUCAGGAGAAGAUUCAGAUCGGAAUUACUACCAGCAGUGGAAGGGGAGAACUAGAAACAGAAGGGAGAUAUGGAUUUCCAUUCCUACUUCCAUCCACUGUAUGCUGUGGUGAGCACCAGUGCAGUUACUAAAACCCAAUGGUGACAUCGAUGGCUGAAUGUUGUUCAUGGAAGUGGCUUCAUGAUCUAGACUCACAGUGUGCUUGGUCUUCUCAUCUGCUUCCUGAGAUUUGUCUUUUGGGAUUGUUCUUUACUUCCCACAUUCAAAAGUGAACUGGGCAGCCACAUGCAUUUCUUUUACUGAACCCAGAGUAGAGAUAAGCUGUUAUUAAUUUAUUAUGGGUUUCUUCAUGAAAUGAAUACAUUUCUUUCAGCUAUUUCUUUCACUAGUUUAGAACUAAUAUAUUGCCAACACUAUUUUCCUGUAGAAAAAAGGACUGGAAGAAAUGGUACAAAAUCCAUAGCAGAGAUAGAUCCAGGAGCCAACUGCCUUCAUUUGUUUAGAUUCACUGUAGAACUCAGUGUAAUUAAAUCUGCUCCCGGUUCAGUAAGAUUGAUGGAGGAAAGAAACCUAGGAAACUUCAGGGAGGGAGAAGAGAGGUUGCAAAAAUCACCAGAUGGCGCUGGUAGAUACGGCGUGCCAGAACAACACAGGCUGUGAGCACUUCUCUGCCUCUGGACCAAGGCAACUUUAUGGCUGGAUUGCAUUGCAUGAUCUGAACAUAUGGUGCUAUGCAUUGGUGGUUUUCAUUUGGUGGUCUCCCCAAACAUAUUGCACAUAUUAUGUGUUGUACAUUUUCAGAAUUAAGAAAUAAAG
ensembl:lncRNA